GCGAGGGUGGCUGAGCUUGGCCAAAAGCGGCGGACUUAAGAUCCGCUCCUGUAGAGGUUCGCGGGUUCGAAUCCUGCCCCUCGCA
rnacentral:tRNA from 1 species